rnacentral:tmRNA from 1 species
GGGGAUGUUAUUGGCUUCGACGCCGGUGAUGAAACUCAUAGAUGCAUGCCGAGAGCGCAUUUUCUCUCGUAAAUAAAAUUUGCAUUUAAAUAGUCGCAAACGACGAAACUUACGCUCUAGCUGCCUAAGGGCCGCUUGUCCGCUUCCUAGAAUACUUGUGGUCUGGGAACCCGACUGAAGCGCACGCACACAAGUCCGUAUAGAGUCAAGCCUCGGGGCUUUAUACCAAACUUAGAGGAUCGCACCUUGU